rnacentral:rRNA from 1 species
GUAGGGUGCAAGCGUUAAUCGGAAUUACUGGGCGUAGAGCGUGCGCAGGCGGGGUUUGUAAGUCUGUCGUGAGAGACCCCCGGGGCUCAACCUGGGAAUUGCGAUGGAGACUGCAAGGCUUGAACCUGGCAGAGGGGGGUAGAAUUCCACGUGUAGCAGUGAAAUGCGUAGAGAUGUGGAGGAACACCGAUGGCGAAGGCAGCCCCCUGGGUCAAGAUUGACGCUCAUGCACGAAAGCGUGGGGAGCAAACAGGAUUAGAUACCCUGGUAGUCCACGCCCUAAACGAUGUCUACUAGUUGUCGGGUUUUAAUUAACUUGGUAACGCAGCUAACGCGUGAAGUAGACCGCCUGGGGAGUACGGUCGCAAGAUUA